rnacentral:rRNA from 1 species
AGUGAACGCUGGCGGUAGGCCUAACACAUGCAAGUCGAACGGCAGCACAGUAAGAGCUUGCUCUUACGGGUGGCGAGUGGCGGACGGGUGAGGAAUACAUCGGAAUCUACUUUUUCGUGGGGGAUAACGUAGGGAAACUUACGCUAAUACCGCAUACGACCUACGGGUGAAAGCAGGGGAUCUUCGGACCUUGCGCGAUUGAAUGAGCCGAUGUCGGAUUAGCUAGUUGGCGGGGUAAAGGCCCACCAAGGCGACGAUCCGUAGCUGGUCUGAGAGGAUGGUCAGCCACACUGGAACUGAGACACGGUCCAGACGCCUACGGGAGGCAGCAGUGGGGAAUAUUGGGCAAUGGGCGCAAGCCUUAUCCAGCCAUACCGCGUGGGUGAAGAAGGCCUUCGGGUUGUAAAGCCCUUUUGUUGGGAAAGAAAAGCAGCAGGUUAAUACCCCGCUGUUCUGACGGUACCCAAAGAAUAAGCACCGGCUAACUUCGUG